AAAUAAUACAAUUAUUGAUUAAAAACAAACAAAACAAUAUGCUGAAAGUACAACCACAAAGUAAUUCUUGUUUUUUUAACCAGUAAAAUCCUAAUCUUUGUUGCAAAUUACACAACCAUGGCCAAAAUUUUCACACGAACAACGGAAACAUGAUUAUUCAUUGGAACUUCACUAUUUAUCAUUGUUCAAUCGGCAUGAAGAACGUAAUGAAGCAGCCAUUUAAGAACAUGGUAAACAGGAAAAUAGUAACAGAGCUUACAGCCCAAUAAUGGCGAUUUGCAAUGUCCCAGCCGCCUCGGUAGCGACAAAAUCGUCGUAGAAUGUCCGGCCUAUCCGUCCUGUUUGCGGCCAGCACAAGGGUACCUGAAGGAGCAUCCGUUUCAGGAGCUGGUGCUAGAGCCUCUUGUGUGAUCUUAUUCUU